ensembl:lncRNA
UGAAUUUCCUUUUCCACCGCCUUCUCCCACUCAAGAAAGUAGAGAGAAAAACAGGGAUGCAGGCUGUGGGUCUUAUGGAAGCCCUUUCCAACCAUUAAAUAAAGAACACCAGCUGCAUUAUGUGUGUUUAAAAUGAGAGGUUGUUUAUACAGUACUUUUCUAUUGACCACUUCCAUCUUGCCUGAAACCUGGGCAUUCUUUCCGUAGCUUCUCUGAAUUUUCUGUCCCACGUCCUCACCCCUACCCUUGCCUUUUGUCUGGGCUCGGUUCCCUGUUCAUAUUCUUUUCUGACAUUAAACUCUUGCUAGUUGAGUGUGUGCUUGAAACGUCUUACCAAGUCGUUCUUUAAGUGGUACCAUUGAUGUACAGUCCCAUUGGAGAGCACGUGUACGUUUCCUUAGGCCCUUCCAACACUGGCUUUAUCAGACAUUUUGAUCUUUGCUGAGCUGAUGGUUGGAAGUCUGAUUUGCAUUUCUUUACUUGAGAAAGGCUGAGCGUGUUUUCAUUUGUAUAAAUCAUUUUCAGGUCCUUUCCUGGGAGCCAUCUGUUCAUGUCUUUUAUAACCACUUUUGAGUGUUCUAUCUGAAUUUCACAGAAAUGAGAUAGAUGUAGGGUGGGAGCAGCAGGAAGGAACGGCGGACCAAGGAGUGUUAGGGAUUCCAUGUCAGGCCCUUUGGUUGCAAGUAACAAGAACUCAGAGUAUUUUAGUUCAAAAAGGGUUUGGCCUUCUUUAUGGACAAGAAGAGAGCACUGAAGACCAGAUGGUCACGGGAGGGAGGGCUGUUGUGCUUGUGUCCUAGAGUUGCCAUGUUCAGGGUAGGAAUAUGAGAAUGCCUGCAUCCAUUCAUCAAAGAGUGCCGACUCUGGGGCCAGGCAUGGUUCCAAGCUUGGGGAUGUAGGGGUGAGCUGGCCGAGGCACAGUCUUCCCAGCCCUUUCCAUCCUCACCCCAGCCCUCCCCAUCUGCACCUCCCGCUGUGCCCACCCUCCCCAGCCCUCCUUUCUGCAGCCCUCCCCACCUUUCACAGACUCUUGUGUAUUUGUCACUGGUGAGCAGAACUGGCAUGACUCCAGGGAUGGAAUCACAAAGCAACUAUUUUUGUUUAAGACAUAAUUCAGUCGGAGACCUUCUACCCCUGGUGAAAACUCAACUCAGGGCGACCCAUCACCUUUUUGAGUGGAAUCUUUGAGGCCCCCUCUGCCUUCCCACUUCUUGUCCCUGGCUCAGGGCCUUCCCAUGUGCCUUGACCAAGGCAGCUCCUGGGAUGUGCUAAUGCUGUUGCCUCCUACCACCACUUCCUCCUUUGCAGCUCCUAGGAAGCCAGCGAUAGCUCCAGCUUCUUUCUGCUGAGCCCUGUCCACCCCGCUAGGUGGCCUUUUGGGGCAGGCCUUAAGAUGAUUCCAGGCAAGCUUGUUGAUCUGAGGCCAGGGUCUGGGCCAAGGGAAAGACUUUUGGACCCCCUGCCGUGUCAAACUCGGGAUUUGCCAGUCGGCCCCAGUGCUCUUCUAUUAGAUUUGAUGGGUGAGUCAGACACCAGCCCACUGUCUCCAGGACCCCAUUUCAAGCUUUGAGUAUUGCAACCCCCUGCUUCAGAAGGAGUAGGACUCAGUGUCGCUCUCUAGUCAGGGAGUUCAGAUUCCUGCAGCAGGAGGCCAGGUGCCAUCAGGAGUCCCCAUUUUGUGUGGCCACCUUCUCUUUGGUGUGAGUGUCGUCCUCUCUGGCUGGGUUCUUAUUUUCUACACGUAGCCCAGGCGUAACCUGGUGCCCACCCGUGUUAAGUGUCAGACUGGUCCUGCAGCAGCCCAGUGCCUACAGUGAGGAAGGACCUGCCGGGCAAAGCAGGGGGCUCAUCAGGCCAGGGUUUCUAGAACUGUAUCCCGGGCUGCUGAGAAAGGGUGUGUGGGUUGCGUGAUGCAGAGUUCCAGGAGAUGUCAUUUCCAUCAUAGUCCAAGGAAACACUUGAGCCUGGUGGAGGGAGAUGGUUCUGGAGGGAAGCUUCUGUAGCAUCCAAGCCCAAGGUGGGCAGGAGCCCCUGAGCCGAGCUGCUGGGACUGAAGAGGAAAAGGAGGGAGUGGGAGUGAGAUGCUAGGAGGCAGCGCUGAUGGGACUGAGAGGAGUGGGACAUGGAGUGGGUUUCUGGGUGGGUACCUCUUUGACUCCUCUAGAUGGGGGAGACUGGAGAAAGUGUAGAAGGGGUGAGGAAAGAGUGUGCAGGGAUGGGCUGAAGGCCAUGGCCCUUCUUGGACCCUGAGGAGAUGUUGGGAGGUGACUGGAUACACCCAGUGACUGGUCUGAAGAUUGGGAACAAGUUAGGGCUGGAAAAACAGACUUGGGCAUCACCGCUGUAUUUGGAGCUGGAAAUAGGCCCAGAUUAGGGAACCUUGGCGCAUGAGGACUGGAUUCCCAGUGAAGGUGGAAGUCGGCCUGCCAGCCGUUUAUAUACUUUUCUGAAGAGCAUGGAAUUAAAUAGCAUUGGGCAGGUUGGCAUUGGGAGAAAGAGAAGAACCAGGCGAGGUUAGGACGUGGCCUUGCUGGCAUGAUGGAGGAAACGCUCUUUACCUCAGACCACACAUGAACUGCAAGCAUCUGCCCUGAUGGGGCAGUGGAGAUACAGGCCGCUCUCCUUAGCCGUUUCCUUUAGACCAAGAGAACUUUUAUCAUGUAGCAGAUGAAAGACCCGAUGAGAAUUUGAGAUUUAUAGUAUAAUGUAAAGUUCGGAAAUAAUGAUUGCAUUUGUUAAUUCUAUUUCUGUCUUUGGAAUCAAGGGUUUCUGAACCUGAGAUAAGCAGUUUUUUUUGUUUCAUAAAAGCUCUAGUCAUUUUUCUUUGUUGAAAGUGGACCACAGUAAUGUUCUUGGAUUUGUUGGCUGAAGCAUUUCCAUGUGGCUUAGAAGCUUUGCAGACACAGCACCCCCGCCUUCCUGAACUGCCAUUGGCCACUGCAAAUCCUGGUGGUACAGUAGAUAAGAGCUGUGUAGAAAAGAUCUUGUUCUAGAGGAGAGGAGGCUGAUCCACAGGCAUCUAGUCACUUGCCUGAAUCACAGCUAAUAAGCAGCAGACAGAAUGAGGACUCACAGCGCCUGAUUUACUUUUUCCUUUUGUUCGAAGCCCAGUGUAUUGAACUGGGCAAUCAGCAUGGUAUUUACUGUCUUACAUUGUCCAGGUAAGAAACCUGGAGCUUGUUGGGAGCAGAAUUACAAAUAUAUAUAUUUUAUACUGACUGCUGUAGUCAAUUUGAAUCAAAAACUACGCAAAUAUUUUAUUUGUAUUUUAGAGACGGGGUUUUGCUCUGUUGCUUAGGCUGGAUUCCAACUCCUGUACCUGGAAUUCCAAUUAUAGCCUUCCCUGCACCUAAGCAUUUCCUUUAAGUGUCCAAAAAAAAAAAAAAAAACAACUGAGAAGAAGGCAUAGUUUUCUCCACGAUUUUUGAGAAAUUCUCCAUGAUUUUUCUCCUGAGCUAAGCAAGUGAGACUACAGAGGAUAAAGAGGAAGGUAUGGAAGGCAGAGAUACCAGGGGGCAGGGCUUGGUGAGACUCCACUGGCGGUGGGGGGUCGUGGAGGAGGUUUCCAGGUGGGAGGUAAAUGUGCCUCCUCUUGAUGGAGAUGUCAGGGGAAAGCAUGGGUUGGGGUGUAGAUUUGCCCCUUGUGGUAUUAACAGUACCACUCCCCACAGGGACAGUCAGUGAUGUUGGGGCCAGCGCAGCUCUGCACUGUCUUUAAGGCAACCAGGAACUGAACACACCUGACCCGAGAGCUAGGCCUGAGGACAUGGCAUAGCCCAUGCACUGGGGCCAGGAGCACAGCUCUGAAGCCUUCAAAAACAUGGUUGGUGUUUGAGGCAGUAAGAGAGAAGCACAGUGGAGGUAGGACUGAGCUCUGGGAUUUUAACAAAAGGAGCAGUAAGGAAGGAUAUAGGCAAUCCCAAAUGAGUCUGUAGGAUGCCUAGAAUCUUACUGACUACAGGUAUGUAAUGAAACACUUUCUACAAUGACUUAUGAGGAGCUAAAAAAAGGUAGAGCCAUCUUUCUUUGAGGUUAAAAUGUGAUGCUUUAAGAAAAGUGAUGCUGGGCGGGCACAGAGGCUCACGCCUGUAAUCCCAGCACUAUAGGAGGCAGAGGUUGGUGGAUCACGAGGUUAGGAGAUCGAGACCAUCCUGGCCAACAUGGUGAAACCCCGUCUCUACUAAAAAUACAAAAAUUAGCCAGAUGUAGUGACGCAUGCAUGUAGUCCCAGCUACUUGGGAGGCUGAGGGAGGAGAAUUGCUUGAACCCGGGAGGCAGAGGUUGCAAUGAACCAAGAUCACGCCCUUGCACUCCAGCCUGGUGACAAAGCAAGACUCCGUCUCAAAAAAAA